rnacentral:miRNA from 1 species
UCGAGUGAAACUCUUUCCACAU